AUAAGUGUUCAAGCAGGCAGACCAUUUCUUCUGCCACCGAAUACAUUAGCAUGGGAUAAUGGAAUAGGACCCUGUCCUCCUAUUUUACGUGUUGGUUUUCGAGGACCGGGUAAUGAUUAAUAGGGAUAGUUGGGGGCAUUAAUAUUUAAUUGUCAGAGGUGAAAUUCUUGGAUUUAUGAAAGAUUGACUUCUGCGAAAGCAUCUGCCAAGGAUGUUUUCAUUAAUCAAGAACGAAAGUUAGGGGAUCGAAGACGAUCAGAUACCGUCGUAGUCUUAACCAUAAACGAUGCCGACCAGCGAUUAGGAGACGUUGAAUACAAAACACCACCGUUGGGUCGUGGCGGGCCGUGCCCCGCGGUCCGUCGUGCGCGGCGACGCGUGCGGCGGCCACGGGGACCGCGGUCCGUAUCAGCCACCCGACGGCCCGGUGAAUGACUCCCCUAGCAGCUUGUGAGAA
rnacentral:rRNA from 1 species